rnacentral:misc_RNA from 1 species
UCUCCGUAGGUGAACCUGCGGAAGGAUCAUUAUUGAAUGAAACACUUCUGGCUUUAUGCUGUUGUGCUGGCCCUUUGGGCAAUGUGCACACGGCUCUGGUCACUUGUUUCUUCUGUUCCACCUGUGCACUGCCUGUAGACACGCUGUGUCUAUGAUAUUUGUUAACACACAACAAUGUUAGUUGGCAUGUUAUAUAUAAUAAUAAAAUAUACAACUUUCAACAACGGAUCUCUUGGCUCUC